rnacentral:lncRNA from 1 species
UAUUUCAAGUUUAUAAUAUGCCUUGCAUGUGUUUACAUGAGAAUGCAAAUAUUUAACUUUUAUUUAAACAUGAUUAUUCAAAGAUCCGAAAUUUUGCGAAGUUUUGACACUUUGUUCUAUUUCUGAUAUUCAAAAGAUUAGUUUUGUCUCCCUUUAUUUUGCAAAUGUGUUUGUGUGUUGCGCGGAAUCAGGGUCAAAAAUACUUAUUAACG